rnacentral:rRNA from 1 species
GUGGGGAAUCUUAGACAAUGGGCGCAAGCCUGAUCUAGCCAUGCCGCGUGAGCGAUGAAGGCCUUAGGGUUGUAAAGCUCUUUCGUGGGGGAAGAUAAUGACUGUACCCCAAGAAGAAGCCCCGGCUAACUCCGUGCCAGCAGCCGCGGUAAUACGGAGGGGGCUAGCGUUGUUCGGAAUUACUGGGCGUAAAGCGCACGUAGGCGGACUGGAAAGUCAGGGGUGAAAUCCCGGGGCUCAACCCCGGAACUGCCUUUGAAACUCCCAGUCUUGAGUUCGAGAGAGGUGAGUGGAAUUCCGAGGGUAGAGGUGAAAUUCGUAGAUAUUCGGAGGAACACCAGUGGCGAAGGCGGCUCACUGGCUCGAUACUGACGCUGAGGUGCGAAAGCGUGGGGAGCAAACAGGAUUAGAAACCCCAGUAGUCC